rnacentral:lncRNA from 1 species
CUGCGGAAUUUCAUACUGUGAAUUUAUAUAAAUUUAUUGUUUUCAAUUAUAGACUUUAAAAAAUAUUAUCAUGCACUUUACCAAGCCAGUAAGAAACCAGCAAACAAGUGUCUACCUACCUCUGUACAUGUGUGCUACUAAUCCUUUAAAGAUCAUCAUUAAUUUUUCUCCCCUUUAUAAUGGAUCUGAGCUUUUUUUUUUGGAUGUGGAUGGAGUUUUGCCAGAAAGGAUUUUGUGGUUUCAUUCAGCAAUAUGAAAACUCGUGUGCUUGUCUCUGCAGAGGAAGAGAGGAAUAUAGCUUCGGUGAGUCCUGGAUGCUGCAUACUCUCUCUACAUGUCUUCGGGUACAGCUCGCAGGCAGUAUGAGGCCAUGUGAACUAACAAUUUAGAAGGGAAGAUCGGAAAAGAACAAAAAGUCAAGGUCCAUUCUCCAUCUCUAGCCUGAAACUCUGAAGCCACCAGUUUCAGAGGACAUCACUCCUU